AUUGAACGCUGGCGGCAGGCUUAACACAUGCAAGUCGAGCGGGGGGAGGUAGCUUGCUACCGGACCUAGCGGCGGACGGGUGAGUAAUGCUUAGGAAUCUGCCUAUUAGUGGGGGACAACAUCUCGAAAGGGAUGCUAAUACCGCAUACGUCCUACGGGAGAAAGCAGGGGAUCUUCGGACCUUGCGCUAAUAGAUGAGCCUAAGUCGGAUUAGCUAGUUGGUGGGGUAAAGGCCUACCAAGGCGACGAUCUGUAGCGGGUCUGAGAGGAUGAUCCGCCACACUGGGACUGAAACACAGCCCAGACUCCUACGGGAGGCAGCAGUGGGGAAUAUUGGACAAUGGGGGGAACCCUGAUCCAGCCAUGCCGCGUGUGUGAAGAAGGCCUUAUGGUUGUAAAGCACUUUAAGCGAGGAGGAGGCUACUUUAGUUAAUACCUAGAGAUAGUGGACGUUACUCGCAGAAUAAGCACCGGCUAACUCUGUGCCAGCCGCCGCCGUAA
rnacentral:rRNA from 1 species